rnacentral:lncRNA from 1 species
CCAAGUCACUGGGAGGCCUGGAGACCAGGCUCAGGGUUUGCAGCCAGAGCAAUCCCCAAAUCACGCUGCAGAACGUUCCUGUAGGGACACCACAGCCGUUACUAAAGCUGUCUACACGGCUGCCCCCGGACACUGGACGCAGCCAGGUGCCUCUGUGCCAUGGCUGUCCUGGGAGCUCAGUCUGGCUGCCACCACCACCAGCACCAGAGAGAGCGGGCCUCCCCCUCCUCGCUCAGCAGCCCCAGCCCCCGCUUCCAAGUCUAGGUUCUCUGUUGAAGUUUUCACUGAGUUCAUCCAUGCUUCUGCCAAGAUCAUCUUUAGGUGCUGGGGGUCAAUAAAGGGAAUAAAAUCUGAUUCCUGCCUUCUAAGAGCAUACCGUCUGUGUAAAUAAACUCACCAUGAAUUGAAUGUGAUCAAAGCUUCAGCAGAGGCAGCCUUGGAAGCUAUUGGCAGUGGAAGGAGGUUGAGAA